rnacentral:rRNA from 1 species
GCAAAUUGACACCGUAACUUCGGGAGAAGGUGUGCCGCUGGCGGUUUGUGACUUCGCGUCACGAAGCUGUCGGUGGUCGCAGUGAAAUGGCGGUUGUGACUGUUUACUAAAAACACAGGACUCUGCGAAGUCGUAAGACGGCGUAUAGGGUCUGAUGCCUGCCCGGUGCUGGAAGGUUAAGGGGAUAUGUCAGCGCAAGCGAAGCAUUGAACCGAAGCCCCAGUAAACGGCGGCCGUAACUAUAACGGUCCUAAGGUAGCGAAAUUCCUUGUCGGGUAAGUUCCGACCUGCACGAAGGGCAUAACAACAUCCGCACUGUCUCGACCAGGGACUCAGCGAAAUUACAUUGGGGGUGAAGAUGCCCUCUACCCGCGGAAAGACGGAAAGACCCCAUGAACCUUUACUGCAACUUGGCAGUGAUUUUCGGGUUGUUCUGCGUAGGAUAGGUGGGAGGCUUUGAAGCCGGGCUUCCGGGUUCGGCAGAGCCAACGUUGAAAUACCACCCUGAAUAAUCUGGAAAUCUAACCUGCGCCCAUGAUCUGGGCGAGGGACACUGCCUGGUGGGCAGUUUGACUGGGGCGGUCGCCUCCUAAAUUGUAACGGAGGCGUGCGACGGUUCCCUCAGGCUGAUUGGAAACCAGCCGUAGAGUGCAAACGCAUAAGGGAGCUUUACUGCGAGACUGACAAGUCGAACAGUUGCGAAAGCAGGUGUUAGUGAUCCGGUGGUACCACAUGGAAGGGCCAUCGCUCAUCGGAUAAAAGGUACUCUGGGGAUAACAGGCUGAUCGCGCCUGAGAGUUCACAUCGGCGGCGCGGUUUGGCACCUCGAUGUCGGCUCAUCGCAUCCUGGGGCUGGAGCAGGUCCCAAGGGUUUGGCUGUUCGCCAAUUAAAGCGGUACGCGAGCUGGGUUUAAAACGUCGUGAGACAGUUUGGUCCCUAUCUUCCGUGGGCGCAGGACACUUGAGAGGAGCUAUCCAUAGUACGAGAGGACCUGGAUGGACGAAACUCUGGUGCUCCGGUUGUCACGCCAGUGGCAUAGCCGGGUAGCCAUGUUCGGAACGGAUAACCGCUGAAGGCAUAUAAGCGGGAAGCUGGCCUCAAGACUAGGUGUCCCUGACGCAAGUCACUAAAGGCCCCUCGAAGACUACGAGGUUGAUAGGCUCGGUGUGGAAGCGCUGCGAGGCGUGGAGCUAACGAGUACUAAUAGGCCGUGCGACUUGACCUC